CUAAACCAUAUAUAUUCUUGUAGGGGACAAUAAAACAAAUGAAAUGAAAUAAAAGGAAAGUCCCUAGGGGGUCAGCCCACCCCCUCUUGUUUGAAAACUUGUAAACGGUCAACAUCCCCACCCCUAAACUAUAUAUAUUCUUGUAAGAGACAAUAAAACUAAUCAAAUGAAAUUAAAUGGAAGUUCCUUGGGGUCACCCCCACCCCGUUCAAUUUGAGAAUGUACUAUUAUCUUGUAAAUGGUCCAGAUCCCCAC
rnacentral:lncRNA from 1 species